rnacentral:misc_RNA from 1 species
UGACCAAGCAGGACAGAGAUAU